AUUGAACGCUGGCGGCAGGCCUAACACAUGCAAGUCGAGCGGAUGAAGGGAGCUUGCUCCUGGAUUCAGCGGCGGACGGGUGAGUAAUGCCUAGGAAUCUGCCUGGUAGUGGGGGAUAACGUCCGGAAACGGGCGCUAAUACCGCAUACGUCCUGAGGGAGAAAGUGGGGGAUCUUCGGACCUCACGCUAUCAGAUGAGCCUAGGUCGGCUUAGCUAGUUGGUGGGGUAAAGGCCUACCAAGGCGACGAUCCGUAACUGGUCUGAGAGGAUGAUCAGUCACAGUGGAGCUGAGACGCGGUCCAGACUACUACGGGAGGCAGCAGGAGGGGAGUUUGCGCAAUGGGCGAAAGCCUAACGGAGCAACGCAGCGUGAGUGAGGAAGGUCUUCGGAUCGUAAAACUCGGUUAUUAGGGAAGAACAAAAGUGUAAGUAACGAUGCACGUCUGGACGGGACCUAAUCAGAAAGCCAAGGCUAACGCCGUG
rnacentral:rRNA from 1 species